rnacentral:tRNA from 1 species
GGUUCUCACUUGGUUAGAGUGUGGUGCUAAUAACGCCAAGGUCACGGGUUCGAUUCCCUUACG